rfam:Planomicrobium sp. ES2 genome assembly, contig: CONTIG000001
UUAUGAUGAUUGUGGAUACCCCAUAUAUGCAGAAGAAUUGGCUUCUGCGUUUCUACCAAGACACCGGAAUGUCUGGACUAUGCGGGAAAGCAACUUAUGG